GGAUCAAUAUACCGUAAUAAUCUUUACAGUCACAGAGGGAAGUUGGUGCCGUGCUUAGAAGAACUUUGUCUCUAUUUACCUUUCUGUUUAUUGACAUUAUUCUAUGUCAAAGUUUAGUCAAAUCAAUAUUAGUCAUUGUGAAAAGUCCACAAAUGAGAGCAGUGCAGAUGCAGCUGUGUUCACUCAGCCUCUUUGUGCACGCUGCUCCAAAAUUGCAGGUUUUCAGAAGUGCAAUCAAAGGAAUGUGUUCUGGGAAGAAACAACAGAAAAGCUGGGAGUUGAAUAUCGAACUUCAUGUCUUUAUCCUUGCUGUGAAGACAGACCUUCCACAUUGAGUGAAAAUGCCUGCGUAAGUAGCAGUGCUUUUGCUGUAGUGUACUUUUAUCUAGUUUGUGCCUCAUCGUGGUUGCCUUUCCCUUCUCCUCAUUGUUGGUAUUUCUCCAAGGAGCACAGGCAGCACCUGGGUUCUGUGCAUGCCAGCACCUUUGCAUGCAGUUAUGCAUGCACAGUUCCACUGAGAGCAAGAGGAUUAGCUUUUGCUUUGCAAGAAUCUGAAUGGAAAUGAAGUUGCAGAACAGGCUCCCUGCACCCCAUAUUUUCAACAGACCAGAACUUCAGUUCUGCUUGUGGAGAAAAAUCAAAAGGCCUUUUGUGCUCUUCCAGUGAGGAUCCAAUAUCUGCAUGUUUGCCCCACCAAUACUUCCUUGGCUGGAGGCUCCCUUAAUCACCAUGUGGGCCACCAACACUGCUUUUUGCAGUCUGCCAAUGCUGUAUCACCACAGUCUGUAAGGCAGCAGAUUUGUGCAGUUCUGCCAUGCAAACUGUCUCCACCUAUCCUACGCAGAGAGGUCUGUGUUUCUCUGUAUUUUGCAAAGAAAUACAUCUCUCAGCUCAAAAUCAUUUUCCUUGGGGACAUUAGGGAAUGAUUCUUUCCAGCUGACCAGAUACUGGCUUUUCCAGGGCUGCAAUUCAGGAGACUGCUGCUGCAGUCCAAUUGCAUGAUUUUCAAUGCCAGACUAGCUCCCUAUAGGGCUUCCCCAAAUGUUUCAGGUAUUGCUGACUUAAUUGCUGAGAUACCUACUCACAUUGCUACAUUAAAAAAAAAAAAAAAAGGGAAGAAUGGCCCAUCUUUCUGCUUUUAACGGAGUAAGCUGUGCAAACAGAAGGAGAAAGGCAUGCUAAUCACUCACAGCGAUUGCUGAAGCGUGUAAAUAUUAAUUAUGUCAUUGUCAUGUUAGCAUCGUGCAGAGCAAUAUCCUCACUGACUGGCUGCAGACUGACAUCUCAGAUGCUGGCCAGCACUUGGGGAUGCUCCCAUCCUCUUGGUAUCUGGUUUCCAUGGCAGUAGUCAAAAUAGGAGACAGCGUCCUGGCGAGGUUGGCAUAUGAGCCAGUUUCUAUGGUGUUGGCUAAAAAAAGCAGGGUACUGUGUUCUGUUUGGGUGCUUGUGGUGGUUUUUAGAGGCGCUAAUGCAGACAGAGUGAUGCUGCAGGCAGGCAGGUGAGACGGUUCGUGCAGCUCUCUGCAUGGAUGGGCGUCUGGAGCAGGUGGAGGGCCUCAGAGAAGGCAUUCGGGUUAAGGGAGAGACAUCUUUGUGGCAUGUGGUGAGGUGGGCCCCUGUCCGGACAUGGCUACUGGAAGGGCCCAAGCAGGCGGUCCUGCGUCAAGGACGAACGAGAGUUGUGCUUUGAGAGCGCGUGAGAGGAUCGUUAAAGCCCUGUCUGCGAGAGAGGCGGUGCUCAGCCCGAGCGGGGCCGAGGCAGGGUGGAGCCGGGGAUGCCCCGGCCAGGUGGGGCCGGGACCGCCGCUGGG
ensembl:lncRNA